CAGGUGGGGAGACAAAAAUGCCUUCUAUGUCUUUUCUUCUCAACUGUGAAAUCUACAGACAUUAAUAACACUGCAGAGAAGCUUUCUUGUCCUUUAUAGCCAGCAGAUUGUGGAUCAUGGACUUUCACAUGGUAUCUGGUGACAGCAUGGAACACAGAUAUCAACAUGGCAUCAGAUAGGAUAAGAAAAGUACAUUCCUGUCUACAGCCACAUUGCCGACAUAUGAUGCUGAAAUGACAGUCACCUUUUUAAAACAAUGUUCAUCAAAGAGUAUUCUAUUGGCAUGUAAUCUGUCUUCUUCAUGUCGUCGUUGACUACACAUCAGAUUUUGAAAGUUGGUACAAAAAAUGAUACAGAAGGAAGAAAGAGGAAAGUCAAGAAAAGAAGAGAAAACAGAGAAAAGAAAAGAAGUGAAAAGAAAAGAAAAGAAGAGAAGAGAAGAGAAGAGGCUUUAAUCUGAGGUGGUCUAAUAGGAUAAAGAGACUUAUUUCAACUUUCUUGUAUCUGUUGAGACUUGCCUUAUGAUCAACUAUGUGGUCCAUUUUGAAGAAAGUUCCAUGAUAUGAACAGAAGAAGGUUCACUACCAGCUCCGCACACUGCACCACAACCAUAUGUUAGACAUCUACCCACCAGCCUCUAAUUUCCUGUCUUCCAUUGCUUUCCCUCACUGUAAACCUAACAAAGAAUGUUAGCAAUAUGGGAUAUGGAACCUGAAAUGGGCACCUCCUGUAACCAGGAAAAGAUGCAGAUAGUUCUAUGACAACUUGAUAUGCCAAGGCUGGAUGAUACCAAUGGGAGGCUUCCUCUUUUAUGGGGAGAAAGGGAGAGUGCAAUUGAAGGAGGUGAGAGGAAAGGAAUGGAAGGAGAGGAUAGAGGUAAUAUGCCAUUGUGGACUGACAGUCCAUGCAGAACCAGACAAAAGGCGAUUAAUUCAUCCAGCUGCACUCUGCACAGAGGUAAAGAUUCAUCUCAAUUGUGAGUGCAAUUAUUCUCUGGACAGAAGAUUCAGAACUUUAUAAAAUGGAUGAUGCAUUGAGUACCAAGUUCAUUCAGAGGCCUCUGCCAUGACUGUGCAUG
rnacentral:lncRNA from 1 species